AUUGAACGCUGGCGGCAUGCCUUACACAUGCAAGUCGUACGGCAGCACGGGAGCAAUCCUGGUGGCGAGUGGCGAACGGGUGAGUAAAGUAUCGGAACGUGCCCAGUCGUGGGGGAUAACGUAGCGAAAGUUACGCUAAUACCGCAUACGAUCUAUGGAUGAAAGCGGGGGAUCGCAAGACCUCGCGCGAUUGGAGCGGCCGAUAUCAGAUUAGGUAGUUGGUGGGGUAAAGGCUCACCAAGCCGACGAUCUGUAGCUGGUCUGAGAGGACGACAAGCAAAGCUGGGAAUGAGGCACGGCCCAGACUGCUACGGGAGGCAGCAGUGGGGAAUGUUGGACAAUGGGCGCAAGCCUGAUCCCGCCAUGCCGCGUGCAGGAUGAAGGCCUUCGGGUUGUAAACUGCUUUUGUACGGAACGAAAAGGUUUGACUUAAUACGUUGGACUCAUGACGGUACCGUAAGAAUAAGCACCGGCUAACUACGUGCCAGCAGCCGCGGUAA
rnacentral:rRNA from 1 species